GAACUAGUCUCAGCAUGAAGAUCCUUUAUCUGCUGUUUGCAUUUCUUUUCCUUGCAUUCCUGUCUGAACCAGGGAAUGCCCACCACGGGUGUCAUGGAAUAUGCAGGCCCCGCUGUCGUCCAGGCCAUAAUAUUCCCGGGCACUGUCCAGGGCGACAGAGGUGCUGUAGACGAAAGGGAAAAUAAUGCCAUCUCCAUCUGCGAUAAUGAAUAGCUGCAAGAUAUGGCCAAUGACCUGAGAUUACCGCCUGCUAUUGCUUUAUCUUUCUUUAUAUAAAUCAAAUUGCUACCUAUCAAACUUUAAAACAUU